CAUCUAUGUGAAUCCUUCACUGUGAUUAUCUCUCACCAUCAUCAAAUAAUUCAGAGCACUGAUCCCCACGAGUGGGACAUUUCCCCAUGAAACAGUAGCCUUCUGAGUUCUUGCAAGGAAAUCCAUUGACUCUGAACUGGUCCUUAGGACAUGCAGGCGAGUGGCCAGUGCACAUCUCAGGAAAAUCGCAUUCAUCUUCUGCUGGUCUGCAUAUGGACCCUGCUUUUUUUAUCUGUUGAGGAAAUACAAAGAGACUAAAUCCUGGAUACAUUUAGGGCCUUACUGCUUCCCUGUACUGAAGUAUGAUGUGAGACAAUUCAACUGCUGAAGAUCUCAUUUUACGUUUUGCUCAAGCUGCUCAUAACUUCAGGCUGACUUUUAUUUUUUAAUGUAUCAUUAAAUAGCAUCAAAAUGGUAACCUGUGCCCUAUUUUCUCAAACAAAAUUAAAACCUCAAGAAAAUGGAGUGUG